rnacentral:rRNA from 1 species
UACGUAGGUGGCAAGCGUUGUCCGGAUUUACUGGGCGUAAAGAGCGCGCAGGCGGUCGUUCAAGUCGCGUGUGAAAGCCCCCGGCUCAACUGGGGAGGGUCACGCGAUACUGAUCGACUGGAAGGCAGGAGAGGGUAGUGGAAUUCCCGGUGUAGUGGUGAAAUGCGUAGAUAUCAAGAGGAACACCAACGGCGAAGGCAGCUAGCUGGACGAGAUCCGACGCUCAGGCUCGAAAGUAUGGGGAGCAAAAAGG